ensembl:misc_RNA Metazoa_SRP Metazoan signal recognition particle RNA
ACCGAGCUCGGUGGCAUGUGCCUUAAGUCCCAGCUACUUGGGAGGCUGAGGUGGGAGGAUCACUUGAGCCCAGGAGUUUUGGGCUGUAGUGCGCUAUGCUGAUCGAGUGUCCACACUAAGUUCUGCAUCGAUAUGGUGACCUCCCGGGAGCGGGGGACCACCAGGUUGCCUAAGGAGGGGUGAACUGGCCCAGGUCGGAAAUGGAGCAGGUCAAAACUCCCAUGCUGAGCAGUAGUGGGAUUGCGUCUGUGAAUAGCCACUGCACGCCAGCCUGGGCAACAUAGCAAGACCCCAUCCCUC